UGGUGGGCACAGAAUCCAGUCU
rnacentral:miRNA from 1 species